rnacentral:rRNA from 1 species
GACGAACGCUGGCGGCGUGCUUAACACAUGCAAGUCGAACGGAAAGGCCCUGCUUUUGUGGGGUGCUCGAGGGGCGAACGGGUGAGUAACACGUGAGUAACCUGCCCUUGACUUUGGGAUAACUUCAGGAAACUGGGGCUAAUACCGGAUAGGAGCUCCUGCUGCAUGGUGGGGGUUGGAAAGUUUCGGCGGUUGGGGAUGGACUCGCGGCUUAUCAGCUUGUUGGUGGGGUAGUGGCUUACCAAGGCUUUGACGGGUAGCCGGCCUGGGAGGGUGACCGGCCACAUUGCGCCUGCGGUACGGCCCAGACGCCUACGGGAGGCAGCAGUGGGGAAUAUUGCCCAAUGGGCGCAAGCCUGAUGCAGCAACGCCGCGUGCGGGAUGACGGCCUUCGGGUUGUAAACCGCUUUCGCCUGUGACGAAGCGUGAGUGACGGUAAUGGGUAAAGAAGCACCGGCUAACUACGUG